CCUGACUCCACUGAAUUGCUGCAGAAAGCAAUUGCCUGAGAAGCUGCUGGAGUCACUUGAGUUCUGGGGCUGAAAAUAGGACACGUUGCUCACUUCAUGUUUUGGUUUCUGGUGUUUCUCACGCAGCAUUUUAAACUGAUUCAGACGUAUUCCCUAUGCAAAUCUUUAAUCCCUGUUGUUAGGAAGAAAAAUGGGUGUAAAUGUGGUUUUGAUUUUUUCCCCACCCUUUUACAGCUGUAUUUACCCCUAUAUGUCCCAUGACUGCUUCCUCCCACUUCUGUUUCCUCUGUUAUAAUCUUCCAUCUUCCUCUUAAAAUUUCCAUCAUCGUUAAUAACUCAUCUCUCUGUUAAUCUUAUUUUCACGUGGCAGGCUUUCUGUACUCUUCCAUUUGCUUCAUCCUGCUUUCUCUGUUUCUUGAUUCCAGUGGCUGUUUUGCUCCAUCCCUUUCUUCUUUCUGCCAAUGUGAGUCCUUCUCAAACGUUUGUCUGCAAAAUCUGCAAACUGAGACCUUUUGCUGCCAGCUUCCCGUAAGGUGUGGAAUAGAGGAGCAAAAUGAACUCAGGCUUUUAGGGCUUGCAUGUCUGUAUUUUGCAGCUUUGCCUUGUCACUGCAGGCGCGUGGCUGGGGGAGGCCAUCACUGAGAGGAGCAUCUUUGCCUCUGCUCCGUGCGAACGUCGCUCACCCCCUACACCGAGCAGCUGGAGAGGGAGCUGAGAAUCUGAGCACAUGGGCUGAUUUUGCAGAGAGCCCCGUGCUAUGGCAACCACGGGAGCUGCACCCUCUGGAGCUGGAUGGGGCGGAGGGAUGGAGGGAGCAGCCCUGUGCAGCGGCGCCCUGCCAGCGGGUGUUUAUCCAGCCCUGCCGUGACUCACGGGGGCCGUGCUCCACCAAAGCCACCUCCAGCAGCCUCCCCAUGAAUCACGGCAGCCUGAGAGGACUUGCAGCAAUUGCUGGGCCACCAGAAGGAUGAUCUCAUCGCCUGCUGAGUGGAAUAAGGAUAAAGUCACGUGGAACUCUGCUCCCGGAGCCAGGAACAUGGCAUCCCAGCAAAGAGCAUUCAGGUGACCUAAUCGGGCAUGUGAUUCAGCGUUACAGGACCAAACAGGGCAAAGAUCCUUCUCACAGGGAAGGAAGGAAGGUACUGCAAUAUACAAAGAAUUCAUUUGAGGUGACUUUCAUAAUGAAACUUGUAAGGCAGGAAGGAAUGAUAUGGCACAGGGUCUACAAAGGACUUGGCUUUAAGCAAUUCUCUUUGCAUUGACUGGUUUUGUCUCCUUUUUUGAUUCUCCAAGUGGCAUUGCCUAUUCCAAGUGAUCACAACAUGAAGUCUGAUGAUGUAAUCUUUGCACACUGUGUCCAGCCCAUGGAGCUGAGUUACUGUGAUACUGGUUCAAACUCACUUGCCAAACCCAGCUGAAGGAUUUAGUCAAGCUUUUCUCUAGCUGAAAUAAAGUGCUUUUGCCCCUUCUAAAAAAUUAAUUU
rnacentral:lncRNA from 1 species